rnacentral:rRNA from 1 species
UACGGAGGGAGCUAGCGUUGUUCGGAAUUACUGGGCGCAAAGCGCACGUAGGCGGCUUUGUAAGUUAGAGGUGAAAGCCCGGGGCUCAACUCCGGAAUUGCCUUUAAGACUGCAUCGCUUGAAUCCGGGAGAGGUGAGUGGAAUUCCGAGUGUAGAGGUGAAAUUCGUAGAUAUUCGGAAGAACACCAGUGGCGAAGGCGGCUCACUGGACCGGUAUUGACGCUGAGGUGCGAAAGCGUGGGGAGCAAACAGG